rnacentral:rRNA from 1 species
AUUGAACGCUGGCGGCAGGCCUAACACAUGCAAGUCGAGCGGAUGAAGGGAGCUUGCUCCUGGAUUCAGCGGCGGACGGGUGAGUAAUGCCUAGGAAUCUGCCUGGUAGUGGGGGAUAACGUCCGGAAACGGGCGCUAAUACCGCAUACGUCCUGAGGGAGCAAGUGGGGGAUCUUCGGACCUCACGCUAUCAGAUGAGCCUAGGUCGGAUUAUCUAGUUGGUGGGGUAAAGGCCUACCAAGGCGACGAUCCGUAACUGGUCUGAGAGGAUGAUCAGUCACACUGGAACUGAGACACGGUCCAGACUCCUACGGGAGGCAGCAGUGGGGAAUAUUGGACAAAGGGCGAAAGCCUGAUCCAGCCAUGCCGCGUGUGUGAAGAAGGUCUUCGGAUUGUAAAGCACUUUAAGUUGGGAGGAAGGGCAGUAAGUUAAUACCUUGCUGUUUUGACGUUACCAACAGAAUAAGCACCGGCUAACUUCGUG